rnacentral:lncRNA from 1 species
UUAUACACUUAUUUUAUUUAGACCAACUCAUUUGACUGAACUAGUUAAUUAUAAACUUCACUAAAACAUAGGCUCUUCGGGGGAACUCAAACUCAAUUCUUGAGUGGACUAAUUUCAUAGCCAAACUCGAUUUCCCUUUCUAUUCCUAUUUCCCCUGGUAGGGGGGUUUCCAUAUUCGCAAUCACAAAUAUAAUUAAUGCACCUCACGAUCCAAGGAUAGACACACAAAGAUCUUGGACAAUCACCGGCGCUUUCACAAUCAACUUCUGCAAAGUCAAAUAAAAAUAAAGGAAUAUUACAAACAAACAAAAAAAGAGUAAAAAAUAGAGAAACAAUAAUGUCUAGAAUUACUUACUUCCGUUGAUUACCACAAAAAAUAGAGAAAGAAUAAUUAACAGAGUAAAAAUUUUAGCCAUAUUUUACGCGUUUAAUAAAUAAAAACUUUUCUUUUUUUACAAAAAAUUAAAACUUGGUUGAACAACUUAUAAGUAUAAAUAUGUUGUUUGGUAAAGUUUUUCUAGCUCUUAGAAGUUGAAGAAACCAUUAAUUAAUUGGCGUUAUUAUUAAAUAUUGUCUCUAAGAUAGAUUAAUGUGUCGGUUUAACUUUUAGCUCACUCUAUUGAUCACUUCAUAUUUUGAGCAAACUCAAUUGACCAAUUAACCUUAGUAAAUAUCUCAGUUAAAUUUUUUUAUACUCUUGAAAGG